rnacentral:rRNA from 1 species
UAUUGGACAAUGGGGGCAACCCUGAUCCAGCCAUGCCGCGUGCGUGAAAAAGGCCUUCUGGCUGUAAAGCACUUUAAGCAGUGAAGAAGACUCUAUGGUUACUACCCAUAGACGAUGACAUUAGCUGCAGAAUAAGCACCGGCUAACUCUGUGCCAGCAGCCGCGGUAAUACAGAGGGUGCAAGCGUUAAUCGGAAUUACUGGGCGUAAAGCGAGCGUAGGUGGCUUAAUGAGUCAGAUGUGAAAUCCCCGGGCUUAACCUGGGAACUGCAGCUGAUACUGUUGGGCUAGAGUAGGUGAGAGGGAGGUAGAAUUUCAGGUGUAGCGGUGAAAUGCGUAGAGAUCUGAAGGAAUACCGAUGGCGAAGGCAGCCUCCUGGCAUCAUACUGACACUGAGGUUCGAAAGCGUGGGUAGCAAACA